rnacentral:misc_RNA from 1 species
GAUGAAGAACGUAGUGAAAUGCGAUAAGUAAUGUGAAUUGCAGAAUUCAGUGAAUCAUCGAAUCUUUGAACGCACAUUGCGCCCGCCAGUAUUCUGGCGGGCAUGCCUGUUCGAGCGUCAUUUCAACCAUCAAGCCCCCGGCUUGUGUUGGGGACCUGCGGCUGCCGCAGGCCCUGAAAAGCAGUGGCGGGCUCGCUGUCACACCGAGCGUAGUAGCAUACAUCUCGCUCAGGGCGUGUGGCGGGUUCCAGCCGUGAAACCCCCUACUUCUCAAGGUUGACCUCGGAUCAGGUAGGAAUACCCGCUGAACUUAAGCAUAUCAAUAAGCGGAGGA